rnacentral:tRNA from 1 species
CCCUUGAUAGCUCAGUUGGAAGAGCGUGAGACUGUAAAGGCAGCAUUACGUAAUGCUUACGUAACCAUCUCAAGGUCACUAGUUCGAUCCUGGUUCAAGGGA